ensembl:lncRNA
GUUGGAGGAGUACAUAAACAAGCCUGUGGGGCAGCCCCCACCCCCGCCCCACCCCCACAAGAGCUGGAGGGAAAAGACUGGGAAGCAGGAUGAGAGAACAAGCUGGUCUGAAACCAGUUCCCACCUCCUCUCAGGGGAGGACAACACUCUGCUCUUUCUCUCCAGUCAUUUCUAUUCACACAAGACAAAGCAGAUAAUGAAAAGCAAAAACCCAUCGAGAAAAGCUUCUACUUAAGAAAAAAGGCAACAAAAGGCUUAAUCUUGUUAAAAUCUACCCCUGCUAAGAAGGCAUUUACAGGGAAAACAACCUCCACAGCGGAACAAAAACUCAAGAACAUCCUAGGUUUUAGGAAGUAGAAUCAUCUGGUAUCAUGGUAUAUUGCUGAAUAUUUGGAAAUAGAAAAGCAUAGAGUUUACUUUGAAAUUCUUUUAUAUACUUCCACCAGUGUUGACAGAGAAGCCGAUUUGUUGAAAAUCCCCCUCCGUGUUUCAAGUUGGAAUACAUUACUAGACUCAUUGACUGAAAACGUUUUCAUGAUUGUUUAAAUUUAGAUUUUUUAGAGAUUACUUCAUCAAAGAACUGUUGACCAAAUGGUAAAUUUAAUCAGGUUUCCACUGAAAAUGCACAAUCUCAAUGAAUCAUAACAGAACAAUAUAUAGGCAGACAAUGGCCUCACAUUGUACUAACAUAUGGGUCCUUGUAAUCAAAUUGUUACAGUUUAAUGAGCCCAAAGAUUCGCAGGAUGCUUUACUGUUUCCUGAAAGUGACAAACUCUUGAUGGAGUAGGACUUCAGAGCAAACGUACUAAACAUGAGCACUCUGGCAGUUUCAGGAGUAAGACACGCUGUGUUCAGUAGCGCCUGCUCAGCACUCAAGGUGCUUUUCACUGUAUGCCCCUCUUAUUCAAGGAUGUGAUUACUACCCUGUGUGAACUCUUCAGCCUAGCAUGCAAAGCCUUCUUACCAGUUUUCAUCCUCUAGAAGGCUUCCUUUCCUCGACUCUCCUACUAGGCCCCUCAGAACUAUCAGAACAAUGUGUGGCUUUUUCCUACAGAGAACCUACCUUUCUUGCCUGCACAUUUCACAGUAUGCCAUCCCUUUUCUCCUUUAAUUUGUGCCAGCCUACCUUCCCUUUCACAAUUUGACAUGUAUUUUUCUAAUAAACAAAAAACAAAAACCCUUCAUAAUUAAUUCCAUGUGGCUCUUCAAACCUCUAUUUACCUCUGCUUUCUCUUUGUUGUGCUACUAUUUUUAAGACUUUGGCCCAUCCAUUUAAAUUCAUUAUGGCUCUAUAUUGAGAAUAAUGCUAAUGCUACUUUCCUAGUGGAUUUGUUGCCAUGAUUAAACAAGACAAUGCAUGUAAAGUACUUAGAACAGGGCUGACAUAUGGUAAAGUCUUGAUAAAUACCAUACUAAAGCAAAUACUUACGUAAGUGGCUGACUCUCUUCUAAGCCUUUCCUUGUGUUUAAUUCACCCAUAAUACCUCUUUUCAGGAGGCACUUAUAGAACUCUCCAGAUAGAGAGAAUACUGAAACCUAUGUCCCUCAUCAGUUAGAAUGUCUUAAGUCAGAUGGAUUUCUUUUCAUUCUCAAGCUAUUUGAAUUUUUAGAUCUUUUUAGGUAUUAGAUGAUGUUAAAUUGUUGCUGGUUGUUAAUUUCAGCACAAAUACUAGUUUAGGAUGCAAUCCAUUGUUGGCACUUAGAACAGUGCCUGGCAUGCAGGGGGCACUCAGUAAAUGUUGUUACUAUUAUCAUUAUUGCCGUGUUAUGAGUGUCUGGGGUUUCUCACUCUUUCUGUUCCCCUGAAUUCAAUAAUUAAAUUGCAUUUAAAAAUAAUGUCCAAAAUGCCUUUUAAAACAUUCCAGAAUAUAUUCAUUAACUUAAAAACAAGUCAGUGAUAUCCUAGAGAUUAUUGUGUCUACAUCACUUAAAGUUUCUACAUUGAUGACAUCCUAAUUUUUGAGAUAACUUUUUUAAAUUGGCAAAGCUAACAGAAAGUGAAGCAUCCUACCAGAUGUUUUAAUUAAAAUAUUUUAGCACAUCCAUGAAAAUCUUCAAAAUCAAUUCACUAAGUACUCAGAAAGCAACCAC